CACGUAGGGUGCGAGCGUUGUCCGGAAUUAUUGGGCGUAAAGAGCUCGUAGGCGGUGUGUCGCGUCGGCCGUGAAAACCUGCAGCUUAACUGUGGGCGUGCGGUCGAUACGGGCAUCACUGGAGUUCGGCAGGGGAGACUGGAAUUCCUGGUGUAGCGGUGAAAUGCGCAGAUAUCAGGAGGAACACCGGUGGCGAAGGCGGGUCUCUGGGCCGUUACUGACGCUGAGGAGCGAAAGCGUGGGGAGCGAACAGG
rnacentral:rRNA from 1 species